rnacentral:rRNA from 1 species
UCACACAUGUGAUCUGUUUGAAAGGUCCUUUUGGAUCGCUAGAGGAUGGUCUUGCGGCGUAUUAGCUUGUUGGUAGGGUAGAAGCCUACCAAGGCAAUGAUGCGUAGCCGAGUUGAGAGACUGGCCGGCCACAUUGGGACUGAGACACUGCCCAAACUCCUACGGGAGGCUGCAGUAGGGAAUUUUCCGCAAUGCACGAAAGUGUGACGGAGCGACGCCGCGUGUGUGAUGAAGGCUUUCGGGUCGUAAAGCACUGUUGUAAGGGAAGAAUAACUGAAUUCAGAGAAAGUUUUCAGCUUGACGGUACCUUACCAGAAAGGGAUGGCUAAAUACGUGCCAGCAGCCGCGGUAAUACGUAUG